UUCAAGGACAUUAUGACAUUACUUACUAAUUACUUUCAGUCAGUUUGUAGUUUUCAGAGUUAGUUAGAGACAAGUUCCUUCAAUGCCUUAUUCAGACAGUAUUUAGAGGCUUUCAGAUUUAUGAUCUACGAUUCAGAUUUAUGUUUCAGAAUUCAAUUAUUUUCAGUCGUUUUGGGUAAUCACUACCCCUAUUGAUGUUGUGACUAUUCACCUAUCACUUUUAGUUGAACCUUAUGGCCUUUUACAUGUUUUUCGCAUUUUAUUAUAUAUAUUAUGCAGUCUACAGGUGUGUAUAUCAGUCAUGGGUUAUCUUGUGGUCCUUUGAGGUCAUAAGCACCAUGUAGCAUUUUAGUUCAGAAAAUCGUGGCGUUACAAACUUAGUAUCAGAGCCUAAGGUUCAAUAGUAUCCUAGGAAGUCUGGAAGCCACAUCUAGUAAAGUUUUAUGCAUGGAUAUGUUAUGCACCACAUUUAUGCACAGUAGGCUAUAAGAUGUUUUAGGAAAACUUUCUCUUCUUUUUAGUAUUUAUGUCAUGCUAGUAUGAAAAAUCACAAGUUAAACUCUCAGUCUAAUCCGUUCUUCUCUCUAUUUCAGACCAUGCCUCUAAAGAAAAGAAAAUAGCCAGCUCCCCAGCCCGAAGAUCAUUUGGGAGAUCAUGUUUCCCAUAUGGAGUUCAGAGCUGCAUUCAGUGCUCUUUCCCAUUAUGUUACCACCCAGAAGGAAUGGCUAAUAGCUGCUCUGGCCAAACCAGUGGCCAAUUUAGCAGAAGCAAGGAUUCGGGACUUCAUCCGCAUGAAUCCUCCUUCUUUCUCAGGGUCUAAGUCUGAUGAAGACCCAUAGGAGUUUAUUGAUCAAGUACAGAAGGUCAUAUUUAUCAUGGGAAUCACUUCUUGUAAGAGUGCCAAGUUAGCUGCAUAAUAGUUACAUGAUGUCGCACAUGCUUGGUAUAAGCAGUGGAAGUCUGAGAGGUUAGAGGAUGCAGAUCCUAUUAAGUAGGAAGAAUUUUUCACGGCUUUCUUUAACAGAAUUCCCUAAGAGCUGAGGGAGGUGAAAGUUCUUGAGUUCAUCAACCUCAGGCAGGAAAAUAUGAUGGUUAAGGAGUACUCUCUCAGAUUAACUCAGUUAGCCAGAUAUUCCCCACAUAUAGUUGCUAAUUAUCGAGCUAAGAUGAGUAAGUUCGUGUCAGGGGUCAACGAUAACAUGGUGAAUGAGUUUAGGUCUGCGAUGCUGAUCAAUGAUAUGACAUUAGCCAGUCUCAUGACCCAUGCCCAGCAAGCAGAGGAGCAGAAGAUUAGGACUAGGGAGAGGCAGAAUAAGAGAAGAAGAUCAAGUAAUUUCAACUUUGCUCAACCCAAGUCAAAUGAAGGAAACUGUUCAUAGUUUUGCUCCAAGUCAGCAGCUCCAGCCCCUUCUUCCACCAGUGCUCCAGUGCCGAAGUUUAGGGAUGACAACAAAGAUAAAGCACUAGACACUUAGUCUCAGGGCAGUGUUAACAGUGCCCAAACGAAUCAUCUAUGCCAGACUUGUGGUAAGAACCAUAAGGGAGCAUGUAAAGAAGGUGGAGAUGUUUGCUUCGGUUGUGGUAAACCAGGAUAUAGGGUCAGGGAUUGUACCCAGUUAGGUCAUUGGCAUUCUCAGAAUCAUUCUUCAGCUCAAUCCAGUCACCCGAACCAGCAGGGGGCCACUUCCAAUGCUACCACUGGGCAAUACCCAAAUAGACUAUAUGUCUUUAAGACCCAACAGGAUUAGGAAAAUUCUCCUGACGUUGUUAUUUUUACAUUGCAGAUUUUCUAUGUUUAUGUUUAUGCUUUGCUAGUUCCUGGUGCAUCAUUUUCUUUUAUUACUCCCUUUAUAGCAGGAAAUUUCGAAAUUAGUCCCAAAAUUCUAGUAGAGACCUUUUUAAUCUCUACCUAAGACGGUAAAACCAUCAUAGCUCAGUGGGUAUACAGGAACUGUCCGAUUAUAAUAUUUCCGAAAGUCACCUCAGCAGACUUAGUCGAAUAAGUGAUGACUAAUUUUGAUGUCAUUCUUGGCAUGGAUUGACUUCAUACCUGCUAUGCCAUAGUCGACUGAAGAAAUAGAAUAGUCCAAUUUUAGCUUCUGAAUGAACCUAUCUUAGAGUGGCAGGGGAGCACUUCAUCUAUAAGGGGUUAGCUUAUUUCUUACAUUCGGGCAAGGAAAAUGAUAUCUAGGGUUUGUGUUAUCACCUUGUGCAUGUUAAUGAUUGUAGUUCCAAAUCUCCCAUCCUUGAAUCAGUUCUAGUGGUGAGCAAAUAUUCAGACAUCUUUUCUGAAGAUCUUCCAAGCAUUCCUCCUGAAAAGGAAAUAGACUUCGGCAUAGACCUUCUUCCAGAUACUCAACCUAUCUUGAUUCUGCCAUAUAGAAUAGCACCUGUAGAACUCUGAGAAUUAAAAGAACAAUUGAAAGAUCUCUUAUAUAAGGGAUUCAUCAGAUCCAGCAUUUCCCCAUGGGGUGCAUCAGUCUUAUUCAUGUGCAAAAAAGAUGGUUCUCUCAGGAUGUGUAUCAGUUACUGUCAGCUUAACAUGGUUAUGAUCAAGAACAGGUAUCCUCUUCGCAGGAUUGAUGAUCUAUUUGACCAAAUGUAGGGUGCCAGUUAUUUCUCUAAGAUAGACCUCAGAUCUGGCUAUCAUCAGCUUCGAGUUAGGGAAUGUGAUAUCCUGAAGAUAGCUUUUCAUACUCAGUAUGGUCAUUUCAAAUUUCUAUUUAUGUCUUUCGGCCUUUCUAAUGGCCCUGCAUCUUUCAUGGACUUGAUGAACCAUGUGUUCAAGCAGUACUUGGACAUGUUUGUCAUAGUCUUCAUCGAUGACAUUCUGGUCUAUUCCUGCAAAGAGCGAGAACAUGCAGACCAUCUCAGAAUAGUACUUCAAACCCUCAGAGAUCAUUAGCUAUUCACUAAGUUUAACAAGUGAAAAUUUUUUCUAAGAUCAUUAGCAUUCCAUGGCCAUAUUAUUUUCAAUGAUGGCAUUAGAGUAGAUUCUCAAAAGACUAAAGCAGUAAGAAACUAGCCAUGCCCUAUUACUCCAUCAGAUAUUAGGAGUUUCUUAGGAUUGGCUAGCUAUUAAAGUUAGUUUGUUGAGGGAUUUUCUUCUAUUAUAUCCCCUAUGUCCAGAUUGACUCAGAAGAAGGACAAGUUUCAAUGGUCAAAUCAUUGUGAGAAGAGUUUUAAGGAGUUAAAGAAUCGACUCACUUCAACUCUAGUUUUGACCAUUCCAGAUAGUUUUAUGAGUUCAUAGUUUAUUGUGAUACAUCCAGAGUAGGUUUGGGUUGUGUCCUCGUGUAUCAUGAUAAGGUCAUAGCCUACGCCUCAAGACAGUUGAAACCCCAUGAGAAGAAUUAUCCUACUCAUGAUCUUGAGUUAGUAGCCAUAGUAUUUGCCUUAAAUAUUUGGAGGCACUACCUCUAUGGAUUUCAUGUAGAUGUAUUCAUAGAUCAUAAGAUCCUUCAGUAUGUUUUUUCUUAGAGAGAUCUCAAUUUUCGCCAUAGAAGGUGGUUAGAGCUCUUGAAGAAUUAUGACAUGAGUGUCCUUUAUCAUCUGAACAGGGCCAAUGUAGUGUCCGACGCUCUCAGCAGGUUGUCCAUGGUUAGUAUUGCUCACGUUGAGGACAGUAAGAAGAAGUUAGCUCUAGAAGUCCAUCAGCUUACCAGACUAGGCAUUCGCUUAGUUGAUACUUUAGAGGGUGGUGUAUGUGUUUUGAGUAGUUCCAAAUCAUCUCUGGUUUCUGAGGUGAAAGAGAAGCAAGACAGGGAUCCUAGCCUUGUCAAGAUCGAAGAGUCUUUCAGAGAUCAUAAAGUGGAGGUUUUCUCAGAAAGAGGUGAUGGUGUCCUUAGUUGUCAGGGUCAUCUGUGUGUUUUAGGUAUAGAUGACUUGAGGCAGCAAAUUUUAGAAGAAGUACAUGGUGCACAAUAGUCGAUUCAUCCACGGGCCACCAAGGUGUACCACGAUUUAUAGGAGAUCUAUUGAAUGAGUGAAAUGAAGAGAGAUAUUGCACAGUUUGUGACUAAGUGCUCUACAUGUCAGCAGGUCAAGAAAGAGCAUCAGAAACCUAGUGGUUCCAUGUAGGAGUUCACCAUUUCUACUUGGAAGUGGGAAGAAGUAAACAUGGACUUCGUGAUGGGUUUACCUCGAACUCAUCAUCAUCAUAAUUCAAUUUGGGUCAUUGUAGAUAGGAUGACCAAGUCAUCUCAUUUUUUUCCAGUCCAUACCUCUUAUUCAGCCAAGGAUUAUGCCAAACUCUAUAUCAGGGAGUUGGUCAGAUUGCACAGUAUUCUUUUAUCUAUCAUCUCCAACAGAGGUACUCAGUUUACCUUACACUUUUGGAAAGCAUACCAAAAGGGUCUUGGCACCCAAGUUCAUCUCAGUACAGCCUUUCUUUCUUAGAAAGAUGGUUAACCAGAGAGGACCAUUCAGACUCUUGACGAUAUGCUAAGGGCAUGUGCAAUUGAUUUCAAGGAAAGUUAGGAUGACCACUUGCUUUUGAUUGAGUUUGCAUACAAUAAUAGCUAUCAUUCUAGUAUUCAGAUGGCUCUAUUCUAAGCUCUCUAUGGUAGGAGAUGUAGAUCUCUAGUUGGUUAGUUUGAGAUCAGUAAGGCUGUAGUAAUAGGUUCUGACUUAGUAUUCGAUUCCUUAGAGAAGGUUCAGUUGAUCAGAAAGAGGCUUCCAGCUGCUCAGAGCCGACAGAAGUCCUAUGCAGAUCUUUUUAGAAAGGAUAUUGAGUUUGAGAUUGGAAAUUCUAUUUAUCUCAAGAUCUCUCCCAUGAAGGGAGUGAAGAGAUUCAGUAAGAAGGGAAAGCUCAAUUCUUGAUAUGUCAGUCUCUUCAAGAUUCUCAGUCAUUUUGGCAAGGUAGCUUAUGAGCUCGAGUUGCCUUAAGAUCUAGCUUCAGUUCAUCCACUUUUCCAUGCCUCUUUACUCAAGAAGUGUUUAGGUGACCCAACAGUCAUAGUCCCUAUUCAGAGUGUUGAUGUCCAGAAUAUCCUUUCCUAAGAGGAAAUUCCAGUUGAAAUUCUUGACUACCAGACUCGUAGACUGAGGAAAAAAUAAGUCCCACUAGUCGGUUAAGGGAGCCACUAGGGAAGCAUAAGCAGAUAUGUGUACCAAGUAUCCUCACCUCUUCCCUGUCAAUUCAAAUCAAGCUCAAGGUAAUAGUUCUCCUUAAUCUUAUUCAGCUUCAUGUUCAGUAUUCAUCAUGAACUUAGCAUUCAGUUUCAUGAUCAUGUUCCCCGUAUAAGCUUGGUAUCAAGUACCAUUUCUCAUUCAGUCAUGCAUUAAUGUAUCAGCUUAGUUUUAUGAUCACACAUCAGCUACGCAUAUUCCGAUGCACAUGCAACAGAUAUGCAUAUUCAGUAUCACAUGUUCAUUUAUCAGUCACGUCAUUCAUGAGAUCAUGUUCCAGUCUAUCAUGUAUAAUUCAUGUUUAUUUCAUGCUUAGUUUAUUUCUUUCCCUUUUAGUCAGUCUCAUUCGAGGAUGAAUGUUCUCAAGGGAGGGAUAUUGUAAUAACUCGUAAAAUCCUAAGUCAAAAUUUAAGCUAUUAAAUCUUUUCAUGCUUCAAGACUCAGAAAAGUUUUCUAAGUUUUCAACACCUAGCCUUAUUUUAGGCUUCCGAACUUUGGGGAUUUAUCUAGCGACCCUCCUGACCUCCCUUUUUCAAUUUUUAAGUUGUGUUGCGAUGGAUCAAGGUCGUAGUACAUCUCGGGUAAGUUUUGAAAUUUUUCUGAUAGAGUAAGGGAAUGUUUGGAUUUGCAAAAUAGUAUCUCCACGUGAUAAUCCCACAUCACCUAACAGAGAGAACCUCUCUAAGUUAGGCGACGCCUGCUAAAAGCGGUGGAGUAGACCAAGUGGUGCCUGCUAAGUCCGGUGCUUGCCCAAUUUUUCUACACUUGACCCCAUGUCUUUAAGGUUAUUUUGGUCCUUUUCCGACCAUAUAUAUACUCUAUAACAUGGGAUUUGAGCUCCAAAACACACAAAUACAUCUCUUUUGUUGAUUUUCUCAUAAGAACAACCAAGAACACACCUAAGAUUUAGCCGUUUUCACUGUAGACUUCAUAACCUCUUAAUCUCAGGUAUACGUAGUGUUCAUCCACAGGUUCCUUUCAUCCGUGGAGUUCAAAAAUCAUGUUUUUAAAUAUGUAUUAUGAAUAUAUGGUUGUAAUAUGAUCUUAUUCCUGGCUUAUGCUGAUUAUGGUGUUACUAAAAUAUUGUUGUGAUAAAUAUCCAUGAAGUGUGUGAUUGUGUUGGUUGAAACCCAUGAAAUUGGGGGAAGUAGAUGGUGAAAAAUGAUGAACACACCUAUACCUUACAUAGCGCACGCAAGGUGUUUGAUAAAAUACCUAAGAAACUAGAAAUCAUGCAAUAUAUAUAAAUUAUGACUAAGUGAAGGAAUCAUGAUAUGCCCUAUGCUCCAACGACUUCCAUGAUGAAAAUGUGCCUUGUAAAUGUUGGAUUGUUCAUGAACUAGUCUUAUGAGAUUAUGCUAUGCUUACUUGCAAAAUCCUACUUAUGUACAAGAUAUAUGAUAACCAUGUACUUCAUGAAAUCCCCCAAGUUAUGAUAUUAUGGAUUAUUUAUGUUGUUCAUGUAUUAAAGUCAGUCAUAUAUGUCAGUUUCUUUCCAUCGAGUCCUGGGGGUACUUGUACCCAAAAACUAUAGCUGUGUGCCUAGCUCCAGUGUCAUGUUUCAUGAUACUCUUAAUCGAUCCAUGUUCAAUAGACUUCAGUUAGUCUAAUGACUCAGGAAAACUCAUGUGAUUUCAGUAUCAGUUCAGUCCUACUAAGUACUCAGAAAUCCAGUAAAUCUCAGAAUCCUAUAAUCUCAGUAUCGUAUCAUAUUUCAGUAGUAUUCCAUCAGUCAACGGAAUUACAGUAAAACUUAGUUCACAUAUAGUUAAUCUAAUCAAGUCCAGUCUCUUCAUUUGGUAGUAGAAGUUGGCACCGAGCAAACCCAAGGAUGGGAACACACGCUGUCAUAUGAGUGUGUGAUUCUUCAAAAUCAUUCAUAUGUUCCAGAACUAUGUAGCCAACAUAGGUUGAGAUAUUAACACUGUCAGAUGAGGGUUGAUGAAGUGGGAAAUCACUAUCAGAUGAUGACCCCACCGUUCUCUUUUAGGGACACUGUCAGAUGAGGGUCACCUACAGCUUAUCCUUACUAGUAUUGAGGUAUUGACACCCUUCCAAUCAGGUUAACGAUUGGACCCCAAUUAGCUAUAUUAGUGCACAUAGGGCAUGUUGGUUAAAUAGUAACUUCAUACAGUCUCAGUCUCAAUCUCAGUUCAAGAACUCAGAUAGUUCUUUAGGUCUCAGAACACCAGGACUGUUAGAUAUAGUCAACUCAGAUACAAUACAAAACUCAGAUAGUUCUAUCAGAUUUAGGACUGUUAGGUACAGUCACUCAUGUUACCAGUUAUCAGAAUUUAGUUAUCAAUUAUGUCAUGCACAUGAAAAACCAGGUUAUCAGUACACAGAUUCAGUCUUUAUGUUAUUACGAUCUUAAUUUCAAUGUUUGCAUGUUUUCACUCUCUUGUUCAUAUCAAUCAGCAUGUUCAUGCAUAAUCCCCUUGUAUUUAGCCUACCUUACUCGUAUACUCAGUACUCCCAUUGCACUGACGCAUUCUCGCUAAGAUUCUUUAUUUUAUGUUACACUAUAGGUUCAGAGACACAAUUUCCAGAUUAGCAGCAGUAGUACUUCAACGCCCAGCUUUGCAGUGAGUCCUCUUCAUUCGAGGACAUUAUGAAAUUACUUCCAUAUAACUUUCAGUUAGUUUUCAAUAUUUGAAGUUAGUAGGAUACAUGUUCCUUCAACUCCUUAUUCAGACAGUAUUUAGAGGAUUUCAGAUUUAAUAUUUAUGAUUUAGAUUUAUGUUUUAGACUUUUGUUAUUUUCUAUUAUUUUAGGUAUUCACUACCCUAUUGAUGUUGUGACUAUUCAACUAUCACUUUCAUUUGAACCUUAUGGUUUUUUUCAUAUUUUAUGCAUUUCAUGAUAUGUAUUAUGUAGUCUACAGGUACAUAUAUCAGUCAUGGGUUCACUUGUGGUCCUUCGAGGUCAUGAGAACCGUGUAGCAUUUU
rnacentral:lncRNA from 1 species